AAAAAGAAGAAGAAGAAGCUUUUCACAGAUUCAAAAAAGAAGAAGAGGCACACAAACAAAACCGGCAGAGAAAAAUGAGAAGGAGCUGGCGGAGAUGUGAGGAGAAAGACGGCCGGAUGACGAACACGUCAAGGCG
ensembl:ncRNA K11H3.10 ncRNA